UUUCAAAGUAUUGACAUUUCGUUGCGAAGGAGGAGACACCAUCCAAUUCGUUCGAAGCGACGACGUGAAUGACAAUAUAUUUGGGUUUCUCAAGUGUCCUAUCCUCGUCGUGUGGCAAGCGACUUUCGUUGGUUCGAAAUCCCAUCCGAACAUAAGACCAUUGGAAAGAUAUAAUAAUGUGUAGGAGGUUGCAUGGAUUCCUGUUGUUCUGCUCACGUCGAAGAAGAAAAAUUCCUUAGUUCACAAUGGGGGCUGAGAAGAGCUGGAGAGUUGAAUCCAGCGUUUAGCUGUAAAAAGAUGUCCCAUUGUUCAAAGAUACACCUAACAUCUAUUACAGUCAAUGCAAUAUCACCAAUCUCAUGGGAAAGAUGAAAGGGACAUUAUGUAGUUUUUUGGUAUUCUGUCGUUAUGACAAUCUUAUGCUUGGAUCUUCAUGCGGACAUGGUGCCGUUAGUGGGAAAUGAGAGCCACCCCACUCAACACCUCUACAAGCCGUGCUGAGCAAUAUGUCCCUGAGACGAGCAACGGACAAGUUGUUGACAUGGAUUACCUGUAGGAUGAUUGUAAAGCAAAUUGGAGAACAAUGGGAAAAAAUCAUACAUAGAAAUAUCCUAGGAAUGCAAGGUUUCGGACAAUGUGGUGUUUUAAGCAUUUCUGUAUAUUAUGUAUUUGGUCCAGUGCUUGUGAACAUGAGGAGCAGCUGUAUUUCGUCAUGGUAGAUAGUGAUAGUGCUUCCCACACUUUCACUUUAACUACAUUAAUUGCUUUCUUCAUUUGUUUAUGGUUUUCUGCAAAUGGGCUCUUACAUUAUGUGCAUGUAAGUUAGUCUUGUCCUGCACCACUACCAUUUCUUUAUUUUCUAAUUAU